CUGGUCAGGUCCGGAAGGAAGCAGCCACAGCCGUCUUAUGUGAGUGCCGGGGGUAAGGCUCGCCACC
rnacentral:SRP_RNA from 1 species